rnacentral:rRNA from 1 species
GCUUACGGCCAUACCACCUGAACACGCCCGAUCUCGUCAGAUCUCGGAAGCUAAGCAGGUCGGGCCUGGUAGUACUUGGAUGGGAGACCGCCUGGGAAUACCAGGUGCUGUAAGCU